CCUACGGGUGGCUGCAGUGGGGAAUAUUGCACAAUGGGGGAAACCCUGAUGCAGCGACGCCGCGUGAGUGAAGAAGGAAUUCGUGAUGUAAAGCUGUAUUAGUAGGGGAGAAAAUGACGGUACCUGUGUAAGUAGCCCUGGCUAACUACGUGACAGCAGCCGCGGUAAUACGUCGGGGGCAAGCGUUAUGCGGAUUUACUGGGUGUAAAGGGAGCGUAGGCGGCAGUGCAAGUAUGGAGUGAAAGGCGGGGGCUCAACCCCCGGACUGCACUGGAAACUGUACGGCUGGAGUGCAGGAAAGGUAAGUGGAAUUCCUAGUGUAGCGGUGAAAUGCGUAGAUAUGAGGAAGAACACCGGUGGCGAAGGCGGCUUACUGGACUGUAACUGACGUUGAGGCUCGAAAGCGUGGGGAGCAAACAGGAUUAGAUACCCCGGUAGUC
rnacentral:rRNA from 1 species